rnacentral:rRNA from 1 species
GAUGAACGCUGGCGGCGUGCCUAAUACAUGCAAGUCGAGCGAACGGACGAGAAGCUUGCUUCUCUGAUGUUAGCGGCGGACGGGUGAGUAACACGUGGAUAACCUACCUAUAAGACUGGGAUAACUUCGGGAAACCGGAGCUAAUACCGGAUAAUAUUUUGAACCGCAUGGUUCAAAAGUGAAAGACGGUCUUGCUGUCACUUAUAGAUGGAUCCGCGCUGCAUUAGCUAGUUGGUAAGGUAACGGCUUACCAAGGCAACGAUGCAUAGCCGACCUGAGAGGGUGAUCGGCCACACUGGAACUGAGACACGGUCCAGACUCCUACGGGAGGCAGCAGUAGGGAAUCUUCCGCAAUGGGCGAAAGCCUGACGGAGCAACGCCGCGUGAGUGAUGAAGGUCUUCGGAUCGUAAAACUCUGUUAUUAGGGAAGAACAUAUGUGUAAGUAACUGUGCACAUCUUGACGGUACCUAAUCAGAAAGCCACGGCUAACUACGUGCCAGCAGCCGCGGUAAUACGUAGGUGGCAAGCGUUAUCCGGAAUUAUUGGGCGUAAAGCGCGCGUAGGCGGUUUUUUAAGUCUGAUGUGAAAGCCCACGGCUCAACCGUGGAGGGUCAUUGGAAACUGGAAAACUUGAGUGCAGAAGAGGAAAGUGGAAUUCCAUGUGUAGCGGUGAAAUGCGCAGAGAUAUGGAGGAACACCAGUGGCGAAGGCGACUUUCUGGUCUGUAACUGACGCUGAUGUGCGAAGGCGUGGGGAUCAAACAGGAUUAGAUACCCUGGUAGUCCACGCCGUAAACGAUGAGUGCUAAGUGUUAGGGGGUUUCCGCCCCUUAGUGCUGCAGCUAACGCAUUAAGCACUCCGCCUGGGGAGUACGACCGCAAGGUUGAAACUCAAAGGAAUUGACGGGGACCCGCACAAGCGGUGGAGCAUGUGGUUUAAUUCGAAGCAACGCGAAGAACCUUACCAAAUCUUGACAUCCUUUGACAACUCUAGAGAUAGAGCCUUCCCCUUCGGGGGACAAAGUGACAGGUGGUGCAUGGUUGUCGUCAGCUCGUGUCGUGAGAUGUUGGGUUAAGUCCCGCAACGAGCGCAACCCUUAAGCUUAGUUGCCAUCAUUAAGUUGGGCACUCUAAGUUGACUGCCGGUGACAAACCGGAGGAAGGUGGGGAUGACGUCAAAUCAUCGUGCCCCUUAUGAUUUGGGCUACACACGUGCUACAAUGGACAAUACAAAGGGCAGCGAAACCGCGAGGUCAAGCAAAUCCCAUAAAGUUGUUCUCAGUUCGGAUUGUAGUCUGCAACUCGACUACAUGAAGCUGGAAUCGCUAGUAAUCGUAGAUCAGCAUGCUACGGUGAAUACGUUCCCGGGUCU